AGGGAUUUAGCUCAGGGGCACAGUACCUGCCUGGCAAGCAUGAGGUCCUGAGUUUGACUCCCAGUGUCCUCU
rnacentral:tRNA from 1 species